rnacentral:rRNA from 1 species
GAUGAACGCUGGCGGCGUGCCUAAUACAUGCAAGUCGAGCGAACAGACGAGGAGCUUGCUCCUCUGACGUUAGCGGCGGACGGGUGAGUAACACGUGGAUAACCUACCUAUAAGACUGGGAUAACUUCGGGAAACCGGAGCUAAUACCGGAUAAUAUAUUGAACCGCAUGGUUCAAUAGUGAAAGACGGUUUUGCUGUCACUUAUAGAUGGAUCCGCGCCGCAUUAGCUAGUUGGUAAGGUAACGACUUACCAAGGCAACGAUGCGUAGCCAACCUGAGAGGGUGAUCGGCCACACUGGAACUGAGACACGGUCCAGACUCCUACGGGAGGCAGCAGUAGGGAAUCUUCCGCAAUGGGCGAAAGCCUGACGGAGCAACGCCGCGUGAGUGAUGAAGGUCUUCGGAUCGUAAAACUCUGUUAUUAGGGAAGAACAAAUGUGUAAGUAACUAUGCACGUCUUGACGGUACCUAAUCAGAAAGCCACGGCUAACUACGUG